GUACUGGAGACUAUGGAGGUGAUGAUCUAGGAGACGCCCAUACUUUAUGUGCAAACCAAGCUCAAAUAGACGUAACUUCCUUCUACGGGUAUACAUUAUGAUGUCAUGACUGUCGUUGGAGAUCUUGACGUGCCCUCGCCUGUCCGGGACCUUGUCUUGAUGGGUCCAUCGGCUGUCUUGCAUUCGUUGCCCACUGUUUCGGAUGUGGCUCCGAAUGUUGAUGGGGCUGUGUGCCUUCUUGAUGGUUCCCAUCGGGAGGUGGUUCGUUGGGAUAUUGUUCGUGCGGGAUUGUCCCGUAGUAAUGGCAAGAGGAACCUUGCGGCCAGACAUGGCGCAUUACUGAAGUGUACUGGAAAUUGGAUAAAUGCUGCUGGGGUUGUUUGUGCCAGGGACGAC
rnacentral:lncRNA from 1 species